rnacentral:rRNA from 1 species
CUCAGUAACACGUGGAUAACCUGCCCUUGGGUCUGGGAUACCCCCGGGAAACUGGGGAUAAUUCCGGAUAACGCAUAUAUGCUGGAAUGCUUUAUGCGUAAAAUGGAUUCGUCUGCGCCACAGAUGGGUCUGCGGGCCUAUCAGGUAGUAGUGGGUGUAAUGUACCUACUAGCCAACAACGGGUACGGGUUGUGAGAGCAAGAGCCCGGAGAUGGAUUCUGAGACAUGAAUCCAGGCCCUACGGGGCGCAGCAGCCGCGAAAACUUUACAAUGCGGGAAACCGUGAUAAGGGGACACCGAGUGCCAGCAUCAUAUGCUGGCUGUCCAGGUGUGUAAACUACACCUGUUAGCAAGGGCCGGGCAAGACCGGUGCCAGCCGCCGCGGUAACACCGGCGGCCCGAGUGGUGAUCGUGAUUAUUGGGUCUAAAGGGUCCGUAGCCGGUUUGGUCAGUCCUCCGGGAAAUCUGAUAGCUCAACUAUUAGGCUUUCGGGGGAUACUGCCAGGCUUGGAACCGGGAGAGGUAAGAGGUACUACAGGGGUAGGAGUGAAAUCUUGUAAUCCCUGUGGGACCACCUGUGGCGAAGGCGUCUUACCAGAACGGGUUCGACGGUGAGGGACGAAAGCUGGGGGCCCGAACCGGAUUAGAUACCCGGGUAGUCCCAGCCCUAAACGAUGCUCGCUAGGUGUCAGGCAUGGCGCGACCGUGUCUGGUGCCGCAGGGAAGCCGUGAAGCGAGCCACCUGGGAAGUACGGCCGAAAGGCUGAAACUU